GAUGAACGCUGGCGGCGUGCUUAACACAUGCAAGUCGAACGGUGAAGGCGGAGCUUGCUCUGCUGGAUCAGUGGCGAACGGGUGAGUAACACGUGAGCAAUCUGCCCCUGACUCUGGGAUAAGCGCUGGAAACGGCGUCUAAUACUGGAUACGAGCUGCGAAGGCAUCUUCAGCAGCUGGAAAGAACUUCGGUCAGGGAUGAGCUCGCGGCCUAUCAGCUUGUUGGUGAGGUAACGGCUCACCAAGGCGUCGACGGGUAGCCGGCCUGAGAGGGUGACCGGCCACACUGGGACUGAGACACGGCCCAGACUCCUACAGGAGGCAGCAGUGGGGAAUAUUGCACAAUGGGCGAAAGCCUGAUGCAGCAACGCCGCGUGAGGGACGACGGCCUUCGGGUUGUAAACCUCUUUUAGCAGGGAAGAAGCGAAAGUGACGGUACCUGCAGAAAAAGCGCCGGCUAACUACGUG
rnacentral:rRNA from 1 species